UAAUCCAUAAAAUAUCAGGAGCAAAUUGCUACAAAGCUCCAUUUCUUAUAUAUAUAUAUAUAUCUUUAUUGGAGUAUAAUUGCUUUGCAAUGUUGUGUUAGUUUCUGCUGUACAACAAAGUGCAUCAGCUCUAUCAGCUCUAUGUAUACAUAUAGUCCCAUAUCCCCUCCCUCUUGAGCCUCCCUCCCUCCCUCCCUAUCCCACCCCUUAGGUCUUCCCAAAGCAAAGCUCCAGUUCUUACAUCACAGUCUGAUGGGAGUCAUGGGGUCUCCCUGUGCCCUGGAGCUACAUUAUCUGGAACAUGUGGCCUCCAGAAACACCUUGCAGGGAAGAGAGAGAAGGAGGACCAGUCCUGGCUACUUGCCAUCUGCACCUGGAAAUGACAUGUGUGCCUCCAGAUCACAGCUCAUCAGGCAAAACUAGUCACCUGGUGCCACCUCCUUACAUGGUGGUCUAAGAAAUACAGUCGUCUGGCAUCCUUAAGCACGCAAGCCUCAAAGAGGAGGGUCCACGAAGGAACAAGGGUUGUCCUACGGCAUCCAGUACAAGUAUGGAACGCUUCACGAAUUUCGCAGAUCUGCGAGUCAUCCUUGCGCGGGGGCCAUGCUCAUCUUCUCUGUGUCGUUGCAAUUUUAGUGUACGUGCUGCCGAGGCGGGCACCCUCACGUGGCUGUAUCUGGACAUGGGGUUUUGCGGGAGCUCCUGCUUUGUGCAUGAUAAUACCCUUCAAGAAUGCAAAACAGUACAGUAGCUCUUCUUCAGUGCCAGACCUUAUCAACAAUAAUCUUCAGCAAGGAAUUCAGGGAGAAUUACACUUUCAACAUUUUACAAGGUCAUGGAGUUUGCAGACUUUCUAUUGGAGUCAGAAGAGAAAGAACAAGAAUGGGAGAAGAAGGAAGAUUCGAAGAGAUAAUAACUGGGAACUUUCCAGAAUCGAUGAACGAUGUUGACACAUAGAUGGAUGGUGUUCAGCAAACCACAAACAGGAGAAACACAAAGGAAAUGACACCUGACAAUUUCCUAGACACAAUUUCCUGAACACCAAAGAUGCAGAGUGAAUCUCCAAAGCAGCUAGGGAACAAAAAGACGUAUCAUACACGAGCGCGUGACAUUCUGAAUUACGGCUGACUUUUCACCAGAAGAAACAAAGAGGCCAGAAGCAAUGGAAAGAUAUCUUCAAGGUGAUGAAAGAAUAGUGUCAACUUGGAAUUACAGAUCCCGUGAAAAUAUCCUUCAAAACUGAAAGUGGAAUAAAGACAUUUUCAGGUACAAUGAAAAUGUAGACCCACUCCACAAGACAUGCUAAAAAAUACAAAAAUAAAACGUGUGCAGAAAGAAGGAAAAAAUACCAACUAAGAGCCCAGUUAUGGAAAAAGGAAAGAAUAGAAAGCAAAAGUGUAAAUAUCUGGAUAAAUAUAAAAUAGCUUUCUUUAAAGUAUCCAUGUUGUUCAAGUGUCUUUUAAUAAGUAUUCACUGUUUAAAACAAAAAUGACAAGAAUGUUUUGUUAGAUGGAUAGGCUAUGUAGCAGUGGAUUGCAAAAUAAUGAGAAUGUAAUGGGCAGGGAGGUAUUUCGUGCAAUUAUUCUACUGUAAGGUCCUUAUGGAGUUUGUGCAUAUUUCUGAAAGUAGUAUAAUUUUUUAAGGUGGACUCUGCUACAUUAAAGAUAAGUAUUGGGGUGUCUAGAGAAGUGCUUUUCAAGAGCUAGAGGGUAAGGAGCCACCCAGAAGCUUCCUUUGUGUCUUUCAAAGUAGGGUAAUUUUGCUUCCUUUUUCAUAUUUCUCUAUUUUCCAGAUUU